rnacentral:rRNA from 1 species
GAGUUUGAUCGUGGCUCAGAUUGAACGCUGGCGGCAUGCCUUACACAUGCAAGUCGAACGGCAGCAUGAUCUAGCUUGCUAGAUUGAUGGCGAGUGGCGAACGGGUGAGUAAUACAUCGGAACGUGCCCUGUAGUGGGGGAUAACUAGUCGAAAGAUUAGCUAAUACCGCAUACGACCUGAGGGUGAAAGUGGGGGACCGCAAGGCCUCAUGCUAUAGGAGCGGCCGAUGUCUGAUUAGCUAGUUGGUGGGUAAAGGCCCACCAAGGCGGCGAUCAGUAGCUGGUCUGAGAGGACGAUCAGCCACACUGGGACUGAGACACGGCCCAGACUCCUACGGGAGGCAGCAGUGGGGAAUUUUGGACAAUGGGCGAAAGCCUGAUCCAGCAAUGCCGCGUGUGUGAAGAAGGCCUCGGUGU